rnacentral:lncRNA from 1 species
UGAGAGGUGUCAUCCAUUUCUUUCUUAUAAUGGUUCGGAGUUCCCACAAGAAUGACCCAUUAGUAAUUGAAUUUCCCCUGUUUUCACUUCUUUUUUUUUCUGGAGGACUCCUGUUCCUUGUGCUCUAGUGCUGUCAGAACUGUGUAGCUGUGUUGAUAUAAAUGUGUGCUACCCUCUUUUUGGUCUCCUUUGUCAUCUGAUUAGUCUUUAAAGAUGCAGCACUCUCUUUCCACCUCAUAAGGCCCUCAGUUCCUGAGAACUCAUCUUGAUCUCAUUCAGGAGAAAAGUAAAUCCCUCAAGAUCUUCCUUAUGAUGCUUACAGUCCAUGCUGCUCUUCCCAUGUGAAGAACUGACGUCAGUCAAAUUUGGCCCAAUCAAGAAAUCAAAGAAUAACAAAAGAAUUGCAAUGCAUUAAUAAAGACCUAGAUCCAUCCAGACUUUAAGAUCCUCUUCCAAAAGUCCAGUGGGAUACCUGAUUCAUCAUCCUGUCUUUCACCAGCCAAGGAAUGCAGAGCGUCCUGGUCAAGAGGCAAAGCUGGUCAGACAAGCUUCCGCCAAUACCUACACACAAUUUUAACCAACUGAGAACAUAAGGAUUCAUGCUGUGGAUGUGGGAGCAGAAACGGACCAAGAUGUCAGCAAUGACUCCAGCGUUCUAAAAAUCCAGAAGAUCACUACAAACAAAUGAAAAACUAAAAGUCUGGUAGAACAGAGGCCAUGACUGGGUGAGCCGCACUGUCUCGCUUCCAAAAAUUUACUCUUCAUGAAAAAUGAAAAUCAUCGUUUCUCAAAAGCAACCUACAGUAAAGUCAAGGUCUAUACACCAAAGAUAGAAAAAAUGAGAAAAAUAAAUGGAAAGAAUGAAGCAAAAAGAGAGCCAUGAAAGAUACAAAGAGAUGUAUUUAGAAAGUAGAAGGAUCAAGACACUGUGUGCCUCAGAAAAAAAGAAGAUAUAAUUAAGCUAAAGAUUUUGAGAUGGAAUAAUUCAGAGGAGGAGAAGAUAUGAAGCAGAAGAGAAGAAUCCCAUGUGAAGAAGGGUACAAUGAUUGAAGUUACACAGGCGCAAGUUGAAAAGGCUGAAGCCAUCAGAAUGUGGAAGAGGUUCAUCCAGAAUCAGCUUGGCUAUAGCUGGAAGCAAUUAAGAAUAUGCACAAGGGCCAGGAGCGGUGGCUCAUGCCUGUAAUCCCAACACUUUGGGAGGCUGAGGUGGG